GAGCUGCCUCGUGAGCGCGCAGCUGCUGAACGCGCCCAAGUUUCGCGAGCAGACACCGAGGAGGAUACUCUCCUCUCACAUCACACUCAACAACGAACAGGGUGAAGUACAACAGACCAGAGGCCAAACGCUCUGUAGCGAAGGCGUCGUUUCUGUGACUCUGUGCUGUCCACCUACAUCCCAUCCUGGCCCUGAAAUCCACACUAUACCAGACAUUAGCCAGCCUCCAUCAAUAGUACCAACCUUACAAGACGCUUCUGUGUGAGAAAACACAAGCACGAAGGAACAGAUCAUCUCUGACUCAUCAACCUAAUGCACACCUACUGGAGCCCACUCAAUUAAACUCGCUUGAACACACGGCUUUCCCGGCUUCGCAUAUUUAUCUGAUCUGAUUAGGUGUCUGAUGUUCAUUGUCUGACGCUUUCAGCGGCAGUUAGAAAUGGGAUGCUUGCCGUGAGGCCAUCCAUAAACUGGCGCCCAACGUAGGGACAACACCUGCAAACCGUGUCCCAUCUGGAACCAAUUAGCCCCAUCCCUGCAGCCAAAAGAAACGAGCGUGUGACUCGAGUUCUUGCUGUUUUUAUGCAUUGUGGCAGCCCGUUGUGUCAUGUCCCAUCGGCUUGCGCUGCUCCACUUGCGUAUCAGAUACGAUUUGACAGGUCUGGAAUAAAAAAAGCCUGUCGUUUUGACCCCUCUUGGUCCCGGAUUGCUCCACUUGUGUCACUUUGCGUGUCCGUCACUCGUUCGAAGGUGUCCACUUUGGCCUCGUUUGUUCACAUCGAGGUCGCCGCAUCAAUCUGGCCAAUCUCUCUGUCCCACCCACUCUUGCGACAGCUUGCAAGUUCUGUCGUCGCCCCCCCUGGAGGAUGAGCGAUGUGUCCACGUUAGACUAUGAGCUGCUCUCGCCGGGGCCGUCAUUUGCCGGGGUCCCCAGCAGCCCACCUCUUGGUGGCGAUGCUGAGCAAAGGACGGCCUUCGCAUUCGUGGGUCUCCUGAUGCUGUUUUUGAUUUUCCUGUUGGUGCGUUGCUUCCGGAUCUUGCUGGACCCUUACAGCCGAAUGCCCGCUUCAUCUUGGACCGAUCACAAGGAGGGCUUCGAGCGGGGCCAGUUUGAUUACGCCCUGGUGUAGUCAUGUGACCUUGACACACCACCUGCCUUACCCCAACCUGUGGCAUGACUCCAAGCCUGUAGCUAAUUGCGCUUAAACCAUCAUGGGUUUGAUUCCCAGGGAAUGCACGUGCCAUGUAUACAGUACCUUGAAAUACACUUUGGGCGAAAACUUAACCGAAUUAACAGGGUCGUCCAUUUCUUCCGCUGUAGCUACUUCCUCAGGACGGUCUACAAGGUCUACAACGAACAAACACAUGAAGUCAACGGUUCAAGGUGCCCAACACAAUGCUAACUGUGAACCGUUACUACCCUUCAGCUACUGUACAUACUUUGUUACUGUAGAUGAAUCUUAAUUGUAAAAGACAUGAUGAAACCCUUCAAUGGACUCAUGUAGAUGGCAUAUUUAAUUUAAUGCAACUGAAAAUGUGGCUAUGUCAAUUGUUGCUGUAAACUGAUUUAAAAGGAAAAGAAAGGAAAGGAAAGCACGUGUUGCCAAGAAUGGUGUCCCAUACUUGGAAUUUGUGCUCUGCAUUUAACCAAUCCAAGUGCACGCACACAUCAGGGAGUAGUGAGAAAAACACGUUAAUUGUUUCAGUGAAUUCAGCAAAUGGUUUUCGCUAAGUUUACACAGAUCACUUAAGUGUCAUUAAAAUGUCAAUUUCUGUUAAUUGUUGCGUUGAAUUCAACAAAUGGUUUAUAUACAAUUUACACUGUAAAGAUCACUGAAAUUUCAUUCAAUUGUUGCUUUGGAUUUAACUUGGUUUCCAAAGCAAUUUACACUUUGUUCCUGCUUAGUCAUUGCUGCCCUCAUUGCCUCGUUUUCAUUGGUGUAAAAUUAAAUAAGCCUUCUACCAUGAUUAUGGCAUACUCCAUUUGAUUUUGUCUAUUUAGCAUGGUAAAUUUGCACAAAAUACAUCUUUAAGGAAAACUUCAGUAUUGGAAAGUCAGAGUAUGUCCGACAUACCUGCUGCCUUCGACAGACCCGUUCUAAACUUUAUACGUUUCUGAGGAUGUUCUGGAUUUGGAGCAAAAAUCCCUUUAAGAUUUCUGAACUUCUGUCCUUGUAUUAUUAUUGCUGUUUCUUGUACUUUUGACUAUGUGUAUAUAUAUAUAUAAGCCAUAUGUUCUCAUAUAUUGAAGGUUGUUCCUGUCAUUGGUUGUCUGUUUGCUGAUGUACCGAGCUCUCUGAAACGGUUGUGAUCGAAGAAAGGUUUAGAAUCGUCCGAAAGAUAUAUUUUUAUAUCCCCGCUCCGAUUUGGAGUUCCCUUUUUGCUAAUGUGUCGUCUUGAAUUUGCAGCUCUCAUUUGGACGGAUGUGCAAAGAAUGGUGAUAUGCCAAGAAACAUUGGAGCUUGCGUUUGCUUUGUGAGUUUUGUAAGUAGUUUGGAUAUUUUCCUAAUUCCCUUUUGUCUGAAAUAAAACUGGGUUUAUUCACUUAAGCCUUCCAAAAUCUUCCAGACGAAGUGGCCACCCUUCUGAGAUCAAUAAGCCAUUUCCACUUGGAUACGCUCGCUAGAUCUCUUUAGCAUGGCUAAAAAUAGCCUUUUGCACAAAGAGAACAGAAAGACAAAGGUUUAAAAAUAUAACCCAUGUUGUUUUAUUGCCAUUUGUUGUUUCGUACAGAUGUUCACAAACAUUGUGCGGAUCACUCCGAUCUAACAGAUGGAUCAAAAAUGGUUUAAAAACAAUGCAUUUGGAAUUACUCAUUAGCAGUGAACGGGGUGCUCAGGUUUCUCCGUCAUGCAUGUUUAUGGCUCAAAGGAAUUCAUACAGAUGCCCUAAUCAAUGCACCUCUGGGAUUUAUGGUAUGGGAUGACAUCCUGAGCGACCCGGUCCACUUUCUUUGGUCUGUAGUUCGUAACCCAACACUAGCUUGAUGACUAUUUCAAGUUUGCUGCUGAUUUUUUGACAUACAGUACAGUCACGCACAUUCGCUCUUUUACAUGUAGUGGCAUCAACAAAAACAAAAGAUAUGAAAGUAUACAAAGUUCCCAAGUUAGACAAAUGAUUAUGCAUAAAUAUAGCUCAGGCUGUCGUACAGUGCAGUUACUGUGAUGUUCAAGAAACAGUUUUGUCAUUCUAGCACCAAAAUCACUUUGUUUACAGCCUUUGAAAACAGUCCAAUAUUGCUGGUCGUUGCAAUAAACUACAGUAUUAUUAAUUUAGAUGAUCAAUGGACAAGCUCAUGUAAACAGUGAUGUACGUCACGUAGUGCUCAGUGACAGUAAAUUAAGUACGCCGUGAUCAUUAAUUGUCAGUAUUCAGAGGAAAAACAAAGUCAACAGCUCUUAAAGGCUAUUUAUCUAAUGUGUACAAGUAAAUAUUUGGUUUGGCAGUCUUGAUGCUUGAGAAUACAAAAGAAGAAGAAAUACAAACAAAAACUACAUUUCACUUUAAAAUAUACAAUUACAAUUUUCAACAAGCUUUGAUGGUAAUGAUUUUUCAGCAUUGAGACAGUACAAAAGACAAUCACACAUGAAAUAAAAUAAAACACAAAAGACCUUUUGAAAAAUGUCACGUUAGCGAUCCACAAAUCAGUUCGUAGUACAGCGUACGUUGGAAUCUUAGCACCUUGUUUGUUUCGCGGUUACUGUGAAACUAAGAAACGAGGGUCACCUAGUAAUCGUUACUACACUUGAAAGUUGAAAAUGUGUGUUUGCGUGUCCGUAUCUGGAGUGUUUAGGAGGACGGCUUGCCAAACAAUCCUUAUGUACAAUUGAGACUGCACAUCUCCAGCUGCAAUCAAAAAUGGCCUCUAGUUGGUUUACCCAGCAGGCUGCCAGUUCUCCAUUCGUAUGUGCUCUGUUUGCCAAGCAGGUCUUUGUCAAAUACACCAACAAGAGCACACAAGUAUGGAGAAGAAAAUGCUUCAAAUGUGAAUGCCAAGUUUGUGCAACAUAACAUGCAUAUUCGAAAACCCUUUAGACAGUCGCAGCCAUUUUUGGAAUGAUUUUUCCCUGAUUAAAUUACGCAGAGGAGGCCCAGUGCAAAUUGAGCACCACUCCUGUCCUAACUUCGGUACAUAUAUUUGUGUGUGUUCUCGUGCAUGUGUGUAAAAUGAGGUAAUGCGAUGUGGCAGCUCAUGCAAACACUCCAGAAUGUCCCAGAAAUAUUGUGUAAAAAGACUCGUAAAAAGUUUCGAGAACCAUAAGCAGUUUGAAACUCAUGUUUUGACUCAUGUUUAAACCUGAAAAAUUGCUGCAGUGUGACCUUUUUUGUGUUUAGUUUUAAAGACAGUACAAUACUUGAUGAAUGACUAAAUACUGAAUGGAAUAAACUUUUUACCCCAGUUUAUACUGAGAUAUCGAGGUGAGUGAACAGUCUUUAUAUUUUUCUUCAUCUAUAAUGCAACGUUUUUAUGUGCACUAAAGACUGAAAUGUCAUUUCAUGAUAAUUUUGACAGUUUACAACUGUAAUAGCCAUACUAAAAUUAAAUUGUCUUUACGACUGAUUUUUCUGAUUGUCCCUCUGGUAAAAGUGGGUGCUAAAGCUAGUGCUAACGCACUCCUGCUAAUUUGUGGUGGUAUAUGUACAUAUUCCACCGAACCUGGUGGAGUCGGUAGGAGCUGACAUGAAAGGAUGGCAAAAAAAAAAA